rnacentral:lncRNA from 1 species
UGAGAUUCUCUUGAUGAUGAGAGGCAUUGAUUUAGUCGAACAUGAGAGCUCUACUAUCUGACUUGGCUUUUUGAACCUUCUUAUGUAGAAAAAUGAUUUUCACCAAACCCUGUUUUAUAGUAUCAUACAUGCUUGUUGAGUCAUUCACUAUUAGCUAUGCNGAAUUGAAAAUCAAAUUUCACUAUAUUAGAUUCACUUGUUAAUUGGAUGGUGUCAUUUCAAGUGAAUUGGUGGGGGAGCUGGUUGAAAUAAAUAAAUCUCCAGCCUCAUUUGCUGCAUCAAUUAUCUGCAAAGUGUACUCAAUUGUCAAAGAACUAGCCUUUUCAUAUCAUUCACGCAUUACUAAUUGAAUACUUUUAUCAACACAAAAUUUCAUCAAUAUAAGCUUGUCAAGGAAAAUCGGAGAGAGAAGGGAGGGGGAAAAUAAUAGUAAAACAUUGACUCGAACAAUAUAUACCUCUUCAUGACGAAGAACUUUGUCUUUGAUAUAACUUUUGGAAUGGUUGUGAUAUUGCUGUAAAACCUCUCUUAUAGUCUUGAGGUGUUUUCGUCAGGGUGGUGGUCGUGCUAGUUGUUGUUUGCGUCAUCGAGGUUGGCAUUGAGGUGCAGGGAGCUAGUUCGUGGUCGUGGUUUGCAGAGGCUGGCAUCGUCGUCUAUUUUGCUUUCGAGGUAAGUUUUUUUUCAAGAUUGAAUGAUGCUUGCUGAGUUCGUGGUUUGCAUAGGUGUUGUGCCUGAUUUUUGUUUGGAAUGUUUGAUGGGUUUACCAAAUGUAAUUUUAGACUAGAAGUAAACUCUCAACUUAUGGUUUUCAAUUUAAAGCAUGACUCAAAAUUUCAAUGUCAAUCAUGUUGAAGGAUCAAACUGUAGCUUUCAUAAUCAAUCACAAUGGAAUGGAACUUGGAUGGAGAACUAGAGUAGAAAGAAGAGAAGGCGGAUAUGACAAAAAAAAAAUAGUGGAGACUAAAACUUGGACCUGUUUGGACGAGUUUCUCAAUAAGCACUUCUAGGGGAGAGAAAUAAGAAAAGUUAAACUUAGCUUCCCCAUUAAGAUAAUUUGUAGAAGCUUUCCAUCUAGCUUCUCUAAAUUUUUACUUUCAUAAGCUAAUUUUGCUUGUGAAAACUGUGCUUCUGUCUAUGUGUGUUUGUGUGUCUGCGUGUGUUUGUUUGUUGUAUGUCAGUGUGUGUGUUUGCAUGCCUUUUGUGUAUUUGUGUGUUUGUAUGUUUGUGUGUUUGCCUAUUUGUGUGCAUUUAUGUUUGUGUGUCUAUGUCUUUAUAUCUUUGUGUAUAUCUGUGUGUGUGUCUCUAGUUGUUUGUCUGUGUUUGUGUUAGUGUGUCUAUUUGUUUGUACAUUUGUGCGUGUUUGUGUUUAUGUGUUUGUAUGUUUGUGUUGUUGUGUCUAUUUGUCUUUGUCUUUGUGUUUGUGUGUCUUUGUUUGAUUGUGUGUUUGUGUGUCUUUAUGUUUGUGUGUUUGUAUGUCAUGUGUUAGGAAAUAACUUCGUUAGAGAGAUCAAAGCUUAGGUAUUUUUGCAUUAAAAUUCAAAUUGUUUUUAAGUGUUUUAGAUUAAUUGUUUGCUUUGUUAUUUGAUCUUAUAAGUUUAAUAGUGUUUUGGAAGUUUUAGUUUUAUCUUUUUUUUUUCUUUGUCAUCAUCUUUUGUAUUCAGUUGUCAUCCACUUUUGAAUUGGUAAAG